UUUCCACAAAGUCAAAGUCAACACACCAAACCACAACUCACUGUUUCACAACAAACUUCCAAUCCUCUACCCUCACCGCUCGUUGCAAGUCCUCCACCCCCACCACCGAGCACGUCAACACCACUCUAUCCAUAACACCACACUCCCCCACCGUAUUCACCACCUUGCGCCACCUACAUCCACCCUUAUCCCCAACCUCACACACAACAACAACCUCUCCACCUCUCUCACCAACACACAUAUACACCACAUUUCCCCCCAUAACCACAUCAAUCGACGAUAUUACCUCAUCACACCUCCUCAAAUCCUCAACAAAUUCCACCGGCAUCUCUCCGAUCUCCUUCAAUCCAAACGAAUCACAAUCCACCUCCCACACCUUCACACCGGUAACAUUUUCAGCUUCGCCUAACACUCCGAUCACAAUCAAUCUUCCGGUUAAUACUCCGAUAACCGAAUGAUAAACGUUUCGAUCCAGACGUAGAUCGUACGGUCCGGACCACGUGUUGUGUUCCGUAUCGAACGAGUACGUCACGCCGGAGCUUUUCUCCAUAACGAACAGAUUCGGAUCAUCGGAAGCAACCGAAAGCCAGAUCGAUGAAGCAGAGUGGUUGAAACUGAAAACCCUAGGCAUCGGAUCUGAUUUGAUCCAGGUGUGUGACUGGAGGUCGUAGAUCUCUACGGCGAGUGGAUCGUCUUCGAAAUCGUACGUGCCGCCUGCGACAACCACUCGCCGGCCUACGACUGCUACGAUUGGAUCGAUACGCGAGACUUUCGGUGCUGCCACGUGGUGCCACGUCAGAUGGAGUGGAUCGAAUGAGAAUGAAAAGUUUGUUGGAGAGAGUGUGUAGAGGAGGUUAGAGUGAGAUGAUCGGAGUGUGGUGAUGUGAUUGGUUGUUGGAGAUCGGGUAUGGAUCCGGAUCCAUUUGUUGGAGUCCGGGUCGUAGGUGUGGGUGGACGGGGUUGGUGGAGGUUCGGAAGGCGGAUGACACGCUAGCGGUCCAGGCUUUUGACACAUGGGAUAAGGGGAUGAGGUGGAUGAGUGGGAUGUGAGAGAGUAUGGCGUCUAGUAUGUCGCCGUGGAUGGGUGGUGGUUCGGUGGAGGAGUUUGUUUCGGUGUAGUUGUUCAUGAAUGUAACUAAACGUCAGAGGGUGGUCACAGAAACAACUGUCUUUGUAGCGAGACUAACUAGUGUUGUUUUUGUUGGGUUUUACUAGCUUGCAAGUAGAGGUCUAAGCUUGCAUCAAUUUAUCUAUAAGUGUAGGUUUUUGAAUGAGUGAGUAAGCAACUCGAUUUAUAUUGCGUACAAGCAAAACAAUGAGGUGGCUUGAUAGAGACUUGUGGAAAACGGACAAUUAUUUGUGAGUUGGUGAAUUGUAUCGAGACUUCAGAGCAAUCUAAUUAAUUAUUUUCAAAUAUUUGUUUUUUCUAUUGAAGUAGUUAAUAUCCCGAUAUAUCAUUGAUAUCAGUACCGAUAAUAUCGGUCAGGAUAUCAGUAUCGAUAAUAUCAGCGAUACUGACCGACAUAUCACUCAUUUUCUUGAUAUCAAUACAUUUGUUUUUAGCU
rnacentral:lncRNA from 1 species